UCUCUGGUGUAUGACAGCCUGGUGUAUUCCAGAGAAGCGGUGACCACAUGCAUCUAACAGAGCUUCCUCUUGGUGAUACCUCUAUGGAGGCAACACCAUUAACUGUGAAAACAAAGAUAUGCAUGAAGGCUGAAAGCAAAGCUGCCGAUAGACAUAGAUUUGGAAGGAAAAGCCUAACAGCCACGUCCAAACGCCCUGGGAGGCUUCUUUCACCUGUGCUGUGAAGGAAUGAGCAGUGACUGGAGGACAGUUUAACUGUACUGGAAACAAGAUGGGAAAGAGAACAGCAACAAAGAAAAGGCAGGGCAACAGUUUGUUCGGAGGAGAGGCUCAUAUGGGGCUGAGUUUCAUUCUAAGGCUCUGCUUUAUCUGAGCUGAGCAUGGCAUCGGCUGAAAUUCAGAAUGAAACUAGGACACAAACUUAAUUGCAAAACCAUCUGAAACCACAGGACGCAGUCAGAGAAAAUUCUCACUCAUUUGAGGCUGGCAUAGAGUUUCACUUUGAGCUUCAGCAGGAGGUUUUGAGGCCCCUAAAACAGAUUCAGGGAGUUAAAAAUUCAGUUGCUCCCCCAAAUUCAACCCUGGCCUAGCAGAACUAUUGAGAGGAAUGAUUAGAGAGCAUCCAUAGGAGAAGGAAGGACAGCUGGUUGGCACAUUUUUUUCCAUCUAAGAGUGAGAUUUGUAGAGAAUAUUCUGUAACUGUUGGUGUAAACAGAUAUGGUCAUCUUAAAAUACCUCUAUUCAAUGCCAUGACAAUGAGUGACACAGAAAAGCCAAAGGUCAACAGCUGUUUCUCUUGCAAAAACAACAAACCAAGAACCUCAGACCUACCGAGACCAGCCAGCCACAGUGCUCGCGCUGUUCUUCUCAUUGUCAACUGUUGAUGGCUGAUUCCUGGAAAUAACCAGGGAGAGAGAGAGGUCUGUGCCUAACAUGAACAGACUUGUGGUUGCAUUGAAAAAAGCCAAAGCAGCAGCUUCAAACAAGUCAUUCUAACAGUAUCGCUCCCUGUCACUGUCUCUCUGCUGCUCCCUGAAAGAAUAUUUUCUGUCACAGACUUUUAUCCCACUUUGUAUUUCUGUCCUACUGCCACUAUGCUGUUUUCAUCCAUAAAGACAGAUUUUGUCUGAAUCUCAGGAGACAAAACUGUAAUUUUUCCUAUACUUAGAAGCAGAUGGGGAUCCUGUGGGAUGGGUUCAGGCUCAGGGAUAUGUUGCACAAGGACUCCCAGGCGUGAACGCUCAUCCUGAGCAUCACGGGAGGCCCUCCACCUUGCUGUGACUCCUUCAUUGUGAUAGGGGCAGGGGAGGAGCUGCAGAGUUUUUGUUCCUUUAUGAUAUUUUGGAAAACAAAAAAAUUCUGAGUUCGGGAGAUAGUCUGUCUUCAGCUCUAUACUGAUUUUUCCUUGAGUAUCCUAAAGGGCAUGAGAUUUUUGGAAUGUUCAGUCCUGUGCACCCUGGAGGAAGCUGAGGGUCUGAUGCAAAGCCUGUUUGUAUCAGGAAAGCGGUUGCUGCUGAGCGGAGGGAGGUUUUGUGUAGCAGAGAGGUGAAUCCUGCUGCUGGGAUGGGCAAACCUUUGUAACAGAGAGCUUUUUUUCUGGUGCCUUUGGCGUUUGGGUGUAAAACUAGGCCUUUCAUUUCUUCUUUUCAUGUGUAUAUUCAGUGUGAUGCAGGUAUGGUGUGGAGUUUUGCAGUUGGUAGAUAUCCUCGUAAGGUUCCAUUUGUUUCUGUGAUUUUUACAAGGGAUGAACAGGAUACCAUUUCUAGGCAAAACACACAGUAGUAUAUCAGGAGGAGGGGGGGAAGGGGCAGAAAUCCAAGGAAAACAGUAUCUGAAUGUUAUUUGUCUUACGAGCAAGCACAUGUAGGCGUUUAUUAUUUCUGAAGGCUCUCUUGUCAGUUGGACAUUGAACAAUUGUGACAUCUGUUGUAAUUUAUUGUCCCCCAGAGUAAUUUCACACGGUUUGGAGUUUGCUUUUUUUUCCAUCCACCACAAAUAAAACCCAGAAUUAUUUCCCUGUCCCCACCAAGGUGAGUGGGAGCCUCCUGGGAGAUGUUGGAGACCAGAAGGAGGACAGGUUUUGCAGAAGAGGGUGGUUGGGUUCUCUCUCCCCUACCAUGGCUUGAGUGGUGAAACUCCCACUUCGCACUGUGUGAGAGAACCCCUUGAGGUCCUCAGGAGAUUAGACAAUCAUCAGUUCAUUAAAACAAAAACAAAGACGGGCUGCAAUUGCUGACCUGCAGUUCCAAACCUUCUGAACUGUUAUCCUGGGCUGCAUCAGGAAUCCUUGUGUUGGUGUUUGCAGGUUUGCACAUUGUUGACACCUCCCAUACCGGAGCUGGGAAGGCCACGGCCAAGUCGGCUUUCCCUUUCAGCCCAUCCGCCUU